AGCCUUUCUACUACUUCACGUCUUUGAUCCUUUCUGUCCCAUUUCUCCCACCUUCAGCUGGAGAAAGCUUUAUGCCUUUAAGUGUUCCUGUGAUUAGAUUGGGUCCACCCAGAUAAACAGGAUAAUCUCCCUAUUUUAAGGUCACUAAUUGGUAACCUACUUACAUCUGCAAAGUCCCUUUUGUUAUGUAACAUAAUAUUACAGGCGCAGGCAUAAGGGCGUGACACCUUUGGGGGGCAUUCUGCCUACCGCCCAAGUCUCCUGACAGCCCACUCCAGCUGGGCUUUCACCCCUCCCACUGCUGAAACUGCUCCACACCAAUGAACAAAAUCAAUGAAAGCCCCUGCUCAUACUCGAGUGAGGGGGGCAGAACAUACACGUAAUGAGGAACCAUACACCGCGUUGGCCAGUGAGAAGUGCAAUGGGGAGAACAAGUCCAUCACCAUAAGGCAGUCAGAGGCCCUGCUGCAGGGGUGGGCAGAGCCGUCCUCUGAGAAAACAGCAUUGGAACUUGCAGUGGAAGGAGACAGAGUGAGCCGUGUGGCUAUACAGGGCAGAACAUUCUUGGCAGAAGGAACGGCCUGUGCAAAGGCCCUAAGCUG
rnacentral:lncRNA from 1 species